rnacentral:rRNA from 1 species
UACGGGGGGGGCAAGCGUUGUUCGGAAUUACUGGGCGUAAAGGGCUCGUAGGCGGCCAACUAAGUCAGACGUGAAAUCCCUCGGCUUAACCGGGGAACUGCAUCUGAUACUGGAUGGCUUGAGUUCGGGAGAGGGAUGCGGAAUUCCAGGUGUAGCGGUGAAAUGCGUAGAUAUCUGGAGAAACACCGGUGGCGAAGGCGGCAUCCUGGACCGACACUGACGCUGAGGAGCGAAAGCCAGGGGAGCAAACGGG